AACGAACGCUGGCGGCGUGCCUAACACAUGCAAGUCGAACGAGAAAGGGGCUUCGGCUCCGAGUAAAGUGGCGCACGGGUGAGUAACACGUGGGUAACCUGCCUCGAAGAUUGGGAUAACUCGUCGAAAGAUGAGCUAAUACCGGAUAAGACCACAGUUUCUGCGGGGACAGAGGUCAAAGGUAGCCUCUGCUUGCAAGCUAUCACUUAGAGAUGGGCCUGGGCACCAUUAGCUAGUUGGUAGGGUAACGGACUACCAAGGCAAAGAUGGUUAGCUGGUCUGAGAGGAUGAGCAGCCACACUGGAACUGAGACACGGUCCAGACUCCUACGGGAGGCAGCAGUGGGGAAUAUUGCGCAAUGGGCGAAAGCCUGACGCAGCAACGCCGCGUGAGCGAUGAAGGCCUUCGGGUCGUAAAGCUCUGUCGGAAGGAACGAAUGCUCCUGAGGUUAACAGCCUCGGGAGGUGACGGUACCUUCAAAGGAAGCACCGGCUAACUCUGUGCCAGCCGCCGCCGUAAGAC
rnacentral:rRNA from 1 species